rnacentral:rRNA from 1 species
AUUAUUAAAAGAUUAAUUAAUAAAUUUUUAUAUUGAGUAAUUUACAUAUAAAUUUAAUUAAAAUUAUAAAAAAAUAUAAAAUAGUUAGAGUAAUUAAAUUAAAAUAAUUAUUAAAAUUAUAAAAAAGUAAUGUAAGUGAAUAUUAAUAUGAAUAAUUUAAUUUAAAUUAAAAUAAGUAAAUUUAAAUUAUUGUAUCUUUGGUAUCAGGGUUAAUUAAAUAAAAAUUUAAAAUUUUAAAUAAUCUCGAAAAAAAAAGAGUUAAAUAAUUAUGAAAGUUAAUAUAAUAAAAUUAUUUUAAAUGAUUAUUUAGAGAAGAUAUUUUAGUCAAUUUUUUUGAUAUCUAGUUUUUUUUGAUUAAAUUUAAUUUUGAUAUGUAAAUAAAAAUUAUAUAUAUAUAUAUAUAUAUAUUAUAAUAGUUAAUUUAUAAUAUAAAAAAAUGAUACAUAUUAAAAAUUUAUGGGAUAAACUAUAAAUUUAUAUUAAAAUUAAUUUAUGUAAUUAAUUUUAAAAAUAUUCAUAAGAUUUGAAUUUUUUAUAAAUAAUUUAAUAAUUUAUAAAUUUUAAUUAAUAAAAUUUAUAAUUUAAUUUAAUUAAAUAAAAAAAUAUUUAAAAUAAUAAAAUUUUUAAAGUAAAAAUGAUUAUAUUAGUAUUAAAAAUUAAUAAAAAGUAUUAAUAAAAUAUAAUAAAUUUAUUAAAGGAAUUAGGCAAAUAAUAUUAAAUUAGUUAAUUUAAUUUAAUUUUAAGUUCACCUGUUUAAUAAAAACAUGGUUUUAUGUGAUAUAAUAUAAGAUUAAUUCUGCUCCAUGAUAUAAAAUUAAAUAGCCGCAGUAUAUUGACUGUGCAAAGGUAGCAUAAUCAGUUGUUUCUUAAUUAGGAACUGGUAUAAAGGAAUAAAUGAAAUUUAAACUGUCUUUAAUAUAAAUUUAAAAAUUUAAAUUUUUAGUAAAAAUGCUAAAAUAUGAUUAUGGGACGAGAAGACCCUGUAGAAUUUUAUAUAGGACUGAAUAAAUGUAUAAUUGAAUUUAGGUUUAUAUUUAGUUGGGAGGAUUCUUAAAUUUAAAUAACUUUAAGAUUAAAAAAACAUUAAUUUAUGAUUUAUGUUAAAAUGAAUAAAAUUAAAAAUUUUAUGGUAAAAUUAAUUACCUUAGGGAUAACAGCGUAAUAUUUUUAGAAAGAUCUUAUUGAUAAAAAUGAUUGCGACCUCGAUGUUGAAUUAAAAUAAAAAUUAAAUGGAGAAGUUUAAUAUUUUAGUCUGUUCGACUAUUAAAAUUUUACAUGAUUUGAGUUUAGAUCGGUGUGAGCCAGAUCGGAUUCUAUCUAUAAUUAUGUGAAAAUAAUUUUGUACGAAAGGACUGAUUAUUUAAAAAUUUUUUUUUAAUAUUUAAUGAGUGAUUAAUAAUAAUAAAUAUUAUGUAAUAUAAUAUAAAA